GUCUCUUCGGGGACAUCCGAUAAAAUUGAAAGAAGAUUGGUAUGACCCCUACGCAAGAAUGACACACACAUAUUUUACACACGCAAGAAGAUU
rnacentral:snRNA from 1 species